GAGGUGAAGAUAAAAAUGAAGCAUUUAAAAAAACAUCACAAAACAGAUGUUGCUAUCAUUCCAUAUUGCAGCCAUUAGAUGUCUCUAUUAACAAACCAAUUAAAAACAAAUUGCGUGAUUUAUGGACUGAAUGGCUGUCGACUGGAGAAAAGUCGUUCACUAAAGGUGGAAGGGUUCACGCUCCCGACCUGACUUUGAUAUGCAAAUGGAUCGUGUAUGCAUGGAAUGAACUUGAUCCCCAGAUUAUUGUGAAAAGUUUUAUCAAAUGUUGUAUAUCGUCUGCACUGGAUGGUACUCAGGAUGACGUUGUAUGGAAAGAUGAAAUAAAUGAAAGUGAAUCUUCUGAUGUUGACUAUGAAUCUGAUGAUGACGGAAAUUUACACUACAAUGAUGCUGACAUGUUUAUGGAGGAACAAAUGGAACAGUGAUUUGAUGCUGAAGCCUGCGAAGAAGCAAGACGGGUCCUACAAGCUCUCUCAUUGAGCGUGGUCGUACCAAGCUGUCUCUCCAACAAUUCAACUCUGGGGACAGCUCACAACUACAUUCCAGCAUCUCAGCAACCAGUUUAAGGCUGCCUAUUUCAUCCAUAAAUAAAUAUUGUUGUGUUGAUA